UGGAGCCGGCCUCCCCCCCCACGGUUGGAGCCGCCCCCCCACGGUUGGAGCCGCCCCCCCACGGUUGGAGCGGGGUUCAGCUCCGUUGGCCUGGGGGGAGGAGUCACGCCGGCAGAGGCCUGCUCUAGACAGGAGAGAUAGGAAGCAUGAAGCUUUUUUAAAAAAGGGAUCUUUGGUCUAUCCUACCUCUUGAAAAGUUGAAAAAGCAAGUAGACUGCUGUGUUUCAUCAACUUGGGCAGAAUCGCUGGGGCUGGGUGAAGAAUGGGAUUCUCCAGGAAAAGCCAGUGCUGGAAGAGCCGUGAGCCAGGCAGCGGGAAGCAGCUUUUGACAGGAGAAUUCUUCCCUCCCCUCAGGCUCUGGGGGCAGAUGGCGGCCACAGCCCUGGAGCACCGUGUUUGGACAGACACCGUGUUUCCCAGACUCUGUGCAUCUUGGAACAUCAGUGUUUCUUCUAUGAGGAGUCAGUAGGAGUUGCUCUGUUGUGAUACAUGACUUUAGUCCAGGUUUGACUCCAGUUUCUCUGUGUGUAAUGACACCACCAUGCUGCCUUGACGGGGGAAAUCUUGAAGUCGUGUUUACCUCUUUUCUUCGUCUGCUGGAAAUCUGAUUAUUGACAUUUUCCAUAAAUGCAUCAAGGACUCUUGCAUCUGUGGAGAAACAUUUAACAUUAAAAGGAUGAUAAAAUAUUUAUUUAAUUUUAUUAAUUUAUUUAAAAAAUUCUUUAUACAAGUAUGAAGAAUCUACCCUGUGGAAUUAAAAACCCGAACAGUUGGUGUCAUAAAAUGUAAUCUUGAUUGGAAUGGUAUUUCUUGGAGAACUCUGCUGGGAUCCUUCUCUCAUACCCCACAACUUACAGCCCAAAUAAACAAAUGAGGAAAAUGACCAA